rnacentral:sRNA from 1 species
UGUCUUUGUGUAUAAACCAGUGGUCAACAUUGGGUAUCUUCUUCUAUUGUUUCUACAUUUAUUGAUUGAAUAAUUGUUUGAUUGAUGAUCGAUCGAUUGAUUGAUUGGUGUCUUUGGUUGAGGUUUUCACUGAGACUGAAGCCCACCGACUGACUGAUCAGUGAGAUUCCAGGAUUCUCGCAUCUCUGCUUCUUAGUGCUCAGACUUCAGGUGCACCCAUAGCAGCUGAAUUCAUAUGUGACUGCUGGAGAUGACUCAUGAUUCAUAACUGACCCCUGACACACUGAGCAUCUACUUAGCCUCUAAAGAUUAUUAUGUCAUUCCGCUUACUAUUUUACAGACUAUGAACAAACAGGGAUCUUUAAUAAUUCUGAUCUACUAUCCUUCACCAUGUGAUUUAAAACUAACUUUGUUCAUUGCAGAAUUUAGAUAGACCAACACACUCACUAAGAAAGGAAGAUAAUUUCAGAUCCCAGUGGUUUGCGGGGAAAUUUGUGAGAUCCUUGAGAACUUAUUAUUUUUAUUAAGCUGAAUUUGACAAUAGAGUAGCACCCACAUGUGUAAAGCAGCUACACCCUCAGCAGGCAUGAGUUUUCUGAAGCUCCCUUUUUUAAGUGCUGCCUCUUUUGACUGCUAAGAAAAACAAGAAAGCAACUAAAAGUCUGUGGUGAGCUACACAUUUCAUCACUGUAUAUGGAACUUGUGGCCUAUGAUCACACAAAACCCCAUUUCCUGCUUGAGGUAAAAUAAGACACACAGGCAGUUCAUGUGCACACUGCCUGUUGCUCAGACUAAGAGCUGAGCUGGGACAGAACGGACACACUCAUGCAGAGGGACAAGUGCCACAUGCUUCCUCAGAGCCUGCUCUGUGUGCUGGUGGCCUUGGCUUUGUCUGGUAUGAUGCAUCAUGAUAACUAAGGGUAUUAAACAGGAAACAUUGCCCCAGGCAUAUGACAAUUCCUAUAGACAUGAGGGACAGGAGGGAUUGGAGGGAAGCCAGAGCAAUGUGUAUUCAAUGAGAUUUCUCCUUGGGUUCCAAGGUGCCCAAUUCCAACAAUGUUUGGUUCACACUGUCACAGAAUAAGCUUUUAAUUCAUUCUUCUGGUUGUUUUGCAGGAUGUAUUGUGGCCCAGGAAGUGACUCAGGUCCAGUCAACAGCAAGCAGGCAGGAGGGGGAAGAAGUCACCCUGGACUGUUCAUAUGAGACAAGUUAUGUCGUAUAUUAUCUUUCUUGGUACAAGCAGCUUCUUAGUGGAGAUAUAAUUUUCCUUACUCGCCAAAUUUCUUCUUCUACUGCAGAAGAGAGGAGUGGCCGCUAUUCUGUAGUUUUCCAGAAAUCACUCAUGUCCAUCAGCCUUGUCAUUUCAGCCUCUCAGCCAGAGGAUUCAGGGAAGUAUUUCUGUGCUCUCAGUGAUUUGACACAGUGUUAGAAGUGACAGCACAAGCUGAACAAAAACUGGGGCUCCCUAAACAGAAGCCCUCUGAGGGAGGGAGCCCAGCUGAGAUGCACACCUGCACAUCCUGAACAAGAAGAUCUCAACUGUGGAUGCUCCGUCUGUGUCUGCAUCAGAACUGUGUUUCUAAGUAAAACCUCAGGGCAUGCAAUUGAGAAAGAAUUAUGAACAUACCUCAGAGGAGGCAUCUGGAAUAGCAAAGAGCAUAAUUUCCUGGAGAAAGUUACACUCAGAAGGAGAUCCAGCAUGAGUGAAGUAGUCAGAGACAGACUAUAAGGAUUUCUCUCCAUGAAAUACUGGUGGUGACUGAGUUACUCCACCAAUCUUUACCUUUGUAUCUAGUACUGAGCCUGAGGUACUGAAGGUCAGCAGUUGGGGAGGACAGGUAAAUGAGUAUAGCACCUGGCUGUCCUGAGACUUGUGAGAAUUCAGUGAGACUCAGAAAGCCAAUGGAAUCUAGAAGGAUAAACCUCCCUCACCUCCUCAGUCCCUCUGGUUUGGGGGAGCAUCAGAAGAAGUCACGCCAUUUGCCAACGUGAUACACACAGACUCAACCUGAAUAAAGAAAAGCUGCAGAAGUGAGGAGUAGAGUGUCAAUGGUAAAGUCAGCUGGAAUCUAAUGGACAUCAAAUAUUUAUGGGGCCUGAAUCUGCAGGGCUAUAUAAAAAUAAUUAAAUAUAUCACUCCUGUUUCUUAAUUCUUCUACAGUUGCCUUUUCCAUGUCCACCCCCAAAACACAGCAACAUGUUUCCAGAUAUGUUUUUAAAGAUUAUUUUUUAUAUCAUGUGUGUAACCUUUUUGUCAGCAUGUAUAUAUGUGUACUGGGUGAAGUCUGGUGCUCAUUGAGGCCAGAAGGGGAUAUUAGAUUCUGGAAAUUGGAGUUAUCGAAGGAAAGGAUUUACCAUGUGAAUGUCAGGCACUGAAUCUAAGUCCUCUGCUAAAGCAGUGACUGCUUUUAACUAGUGAGUGUAUGUUCCAGGUCCUGUUUCUACGUAAUUUGUAUAAACUGUACAUGAUAAAGGAGGUAAAUAACUUCAAUUCACCAAUUAAAAACCAUAGGCUACCUGGGGGCAUUAACAAAGAAUACUAUCUGUGUCUCCAGGAAACACUUCCUACAGCUAAGUACAUCAAACACUGAAAGUCAAACCAUAGAGAUCAGCAUCGGACGUAAUUGAGAGCUGUAGUCAUGGCACUGCACGUCUCAUAUUUGACAAAGAAGACUUCAGACCACAGCUAGUCAGAGAGCUGAGGAGAGUCACUGCAUAGCCACAGAGGGACAGGAGACUGAUCACAGAUAACUAUGAGAAGCCAAGAGAGCUGUCGUUAGGAUGCACUGUCAAACAGACCUCAGAAGACUCUAUGAGUUUGUCUUAUGAGAGACACUGGAACUUCAGAGCAUGCCUGUUAGUUUGUAUGGAGUGCAUGGUAAGCAAAUCCAGUUAAGCUUUUGAAGUAGGGGUGCUUCUGAGCUGUGUGGUUUCCAUGUGCUUUCUUGUUUAGUACUUAGCAGACAUGCCAAAGUUGUUGAAUCUCCCGUCCUGGUACAGCAUAGCGAUGUUCAGGAGAAUAGGGCUUGGGUUCAAGUUCUGAACCAUCCACUUAGUAGCUGAGGGGACUUGAGCAGACUGCUUUAUGAAUUUUGUGCUUGGUUUCCUCAUUCCUGCAUAUGAUUAUUGGUAAUAUCUAUGGCAAAAUUCACUAUGAUGGCUGCCAAUCCUUAGUAACCCAUGUCAAAAAGUGUAAAAAGUCAAUUACAGAAACUGAAAUUGUGUAUAUGAGUAAAUGAAUACUUGUCAAGUUCCACAAAAUGCCCAUCACAGUUUGACUUUCCUGUGCUCUUGUAUGAGUAUGCUGCCUUAAUGAAUGACACAUCUGUGCUUAGCUGCAUUCCUUUGCAAUGAAAUGCUUGUUAGAGUUCUCACAGGGGAAGAAAUUACAGUCACUAAGAGAAUCUUAAUUAUUUUAGUCAAUGUGCCCAAUAAUGUGUUUUUAUGACAUUUUCAUCCAAAUAUAUCAUCGUUUGCUCAUAUUUACCUCAGCACCAUCCCUUGUACCAUCCCUACUCCUGCUAGUGUUAUCUUCCUCCAAAUGUUCCCAGUCUGCAUUUGUCUCUCCCUUUUUCUCCA